UUACGUAACACAGAGACAGGAUGUAAUCGCAAGGCGUGUUUAUUGACAAAUGACACAAAAGUCAGAUAAGCACGACAAGUUCACAGGGAAACACAGGUGGGCGGACACAAGGCUGAUGGCACGUUGACACAGGGAACUCGGUGGACAACAGAUGAUGGUGCUUGCUCCAGUGAAGAUCCCUCGAAUCCCGAGUAUUUACAUACAGAGACACUUUGCAUGAGAGUGUUUAUAGAGCUGUGAGUUUAACACUUCAUGACUGAGAGCAGAACAUAACACAAUCUUCAUCAUCACACUAGACACAACAACAACAAUGAACAACAUCCUCAUCCUCAUCUGGACUCUGAUGCUCUGCAUUCACGAGAUCUGGGGACAAGUGACUGUGACUCAGAAUCCAGCAAUAAAAUCCAUCAAUCAAGGAGAAACUGUUACGAUCAACUGUAAAACCAGUCAGACACUUACUGGCUGUGGUAGCUGUGUGUCUUGGUAUCAGCAGAAACCUGGAGAAGCUCCUAAACUCCUCAUAUAUCAGAUAUCAAACCGUUACACUGGAACUCCUUCUAGAUUCAGUGGCAGUGGAUCUGGCAGUGAUUUCUCUCUGACCAUCAGUGGAGUCCAGACUGAAGAUACAGGAGACUAUUACUGUAUGAGUGAACACUGUCCUAGUAGCUGUGUGUUCACACAGUGAUAAAGAGUCGUACAAAAACCUCCGUCAGUCAGAGUCACAGUGACUGCACUGAUACAGCUGAGAGACACUGCAGCUUGAGGAGAUACAGUUUGUAACAAACAGCAGUUUCAUCACAAUACAAUAUAACAUUGAUUCUUGUUUUUUUUAUGAU